UUCCCAGUUCGGAUCGGAGUCUGCAACCCGACUCCGUGAAGCUGGAUUCGCUAGUAAUCGCGCAUCAGCCAUGGCGCGGUGAAUACGUUCCCGGGCCUUGUACACACCGCCCGUCAAGCCAUGGAAGCCGGGAGUGCCUGAAGUGUGCAACCGCAAGGAGCGCCCUAAGGUAAAACUGGUGACUGGGGCUAAGUCGUAACAAGGUAUC
rnacentral:rRNA from 1 species